rnacentral:rRNA from 1 species
CACGUAGGAAUUUACCUUAGAGUGAGGGAUAAAAUACCUCAUACGCUCUAAAAAUAAUAUUUCUGAUAAGUUUAAUAAGACUUUAAUUUUAUUAACUUUGCAGAGAUUUUAAAUUUAGAGGAAAGAUUUAUCGCUCUAAGAUAAGCCUGCGCCGGAUUACAGGUUAGUUGGUGAGGUAAUGGCUCACCAAGACGAUGAUCCGUAACUGGUCUGAGAGGACGAUCAGUCACACUGAAAUUGAGAUACGGUUCAGACAUCAUUAGAUGGCAGCAGUGGGGAAUAUUGGACAAUGGGGGAAAC